rnacentral:rRNA from 1 species
GACGAACGCUGGCGGCGUGCCUAAUACAUGCAAGUCGAACGCUGAAGGAGGAGCUUGCUUCUCUGGAUGAGUUGCGAACGGGUGAGUAACGCGUAGGUAACCUGCCUGGUAGCGGGGGAUAACUAUUGGAAACGAUAGCUAAUACCGCAUAAGAGUAGAUGUUGCAUGACAUUUGCUUAAAAGGUGCAAUUGCAUCACUACCAGAUGGACCUGCGUUGUAUUAGCUAGUUGGUGGGGUAACGGCUUACCAAGGCGACGAUACAUAGCCGACCUGAGAGGGUGAUCGGCCACACUGGGACUGAGACACGGCCCAGACUCCUACGGGAGGCAGCAGUAGGGAAUCUUCGGCAAUGGACGGAAGUCUGACCGAGCAACGCCGCGUGAGUGAAGAAGGGUUUCGGAUCGUAAAGCUCUGUUGUAAGAGAAGAACGAGUGUGAGAGUGGAAAGUUCACACUGUGACGGUAUCUUACCAGAAAGGGACGGCUAACUACGUG